ensembl:lincRNA
UUCUGCCGCCACCUGAGCUUGCAUGUAAGGCCGCACCGAUACGCCAUUUCUUUUGCUGUGGUCACCACCGAGGCCAGGAGUUCAAGACCACCCCGGCCAACGUGGUGAAACCCCGUCUCUACUAAAAACACAAAAAUUAGCCGGGCGUGGCGAUGAGCACCUGUAAUCCCAGCUACUUGGGAGGCAGAGGCAGGAGACUUGUUUGAACCAGGGAGUCGGAGGUUGCAGUGAGCCGAGAUCAAGCCACUGCACUCCAGCCUGUGCGACAGACUGAAACUCUGUCUCAAAACAAAAACCAACUUUUUCGUUUUGUUUUGUUUUUUAAGAUACAGGGUCUCACUAUGUUAUCCAGGCUGAUCUCGAACUACUGGCCUCAGGCCAUCUUCCCACGUUGGCUUCCCAAAGCACUGAUUAUAGGCAUGAGCCACCAGACACUCGUCAGGCCGGAGCAGCAGGUGCUGCACAGAGCUGGGCCCAGAGAUCGCCAGCAGGGGACAGUUUAGACAUUCUGAUGUCGGCUCUGCUGAGGGGGGAAGUCGGGCCCCACCUUGGACAUACCAGUUUCCAUUUUCAAUGACAUCAGCCAGGACUGGCAGCUGCAGCAUUUUGUCAGCUGGAUGUGGUAUGAACGGGAGGUGCCCCUGCUGAAGCGAUGGAUCCGGGACCUGCACAUAAGAGUGGUGCUGAGGAUUGGCAGUGCCCACUUCUAUGCCAUUGUGGUCAGUGUGGCCAGGAGCAGGCAGGGCAGUGGGUGAUUGGUGUCCACAAGCUAGAGCAUGAAAGGGGCUACCUCCCCUUCGAGGCUGACAGCAGCAGUCUAUUCCGGGUGGGGCCCCUGCCCUCCCGCCUCUGCGUCAUCAACUGUCGCCAUCAACAACACGCUCGCCCCCCACCCUGCCACCAGGGACCAUCCGUACACGACCGACAACUCCAAGUGAGUACCAUCCUGCCUCCACUGCGCGCACCCACCUUCCCGCCCCACCCUGUGGUCUUCCUGCCAGGGACAGGGUGGCCUUCGCAGAGAGGAGGCCCUGAUCUGGGGAGGCAAGUGACCUGAGGGCAAAAGACCCAUGGCAAGGGCCCAGCGAACCACAGUCCUCCUGCCCUAGGUAUCCCAAGGGUUACUUUGUCCAGAACACAGACUUUGACUUCUUCAACUAUGCAGGACUACAGCGGUCUGUGCUUCUGUACACGACACCAACUACCUACAUCGAUGACAUCACCAUCACCACUGGUGUGGAGUGAGACAGAGGUGAGAGCUUCUGGUAGGAUCCUCCCUCAGCGGGGCUCAGGGUGGCUCUGUUUGUUACCUGUUUGGAAAGCUCUCCCAGGAAAAAGGUUCUCCCAGCAUCUCUAAACCUUCACAGGUUCCCAUCCACCUACGAAGCUAAAAUCCAGGCUGUCUGCGAGAUCACUCAUGUGGUUGAUCUUGCUUGGAGAAGAGGGGUCUGGCCUAACAUCACAUAGCUCAGGGUGGCAGCCCUGUCCCUUCCCCACGGUGCUGCUCUCACUCUAGCUCCCCUUGAUAUACAUCGUGCUCAAGGAACAGGCAGCUUCAGGGGGCCGGGUGCGGUGGCUCACGCCUGUCAUCCCAGCUCUUUGGUAGGAGGAUCACUUCAGGCCAAGAGUUCAAGACCAGGCUGGGCAACAUAGCAAGACCAUCAGCACAAAAAAUUUAAAAAUUCUCCAGUCAUGGUGAUGUGUGCUGGUAGUCCCAGCUGCUGAGACAGGAGAAUCAGUUGAGCCUGGGAGGUCAAGGGUGCAGUGAGCUGUGACCAUGUCACUGCACUCUGGUCUGGGCAACAGAGGGAGACCCUGUCUUUUUUGUUUGUAUUUGUUUUUGAGCUGGAGUCUCACUCUGUAGGAGCCCAGACUGGAGGGCACUGGUGCACUCUUGGGCUCACUGCAACCUCCACCUCCCAAGUUCAAGUGAUUCUCCUCCCUCAGCCUCCCUAGUAGCAGGGAUUACAGGCACCUUCCACCAUGUCCAGCCAAUUUUUGUGGUUUUUGUUUAGUAGAGACGGGGUUUCACCAUGUAGGCCUGGGUUGGUCUUGAACUCCUGACCUCAGAUGACUCACCUGCCUUGGCCUCCCAAAGUGCAAGGAUUACAGGUGUGAGCUACCGUGCAUGACUGGGAUACCUUGUUUUUAAGGAAAAAAAAUAUAUUUAUUUAUUUAUUUAUUUUUAAUAUAUCUUUUUCCUUUUGUGAGAUGAGGCCUUACACUGUCAACCAGGCUGGAUGGCAGUGGUACAAUGAUUGACAGCUGUUGUGGGGCCGCAGUUGUCAGUUUCAAAGAAUUUAGGCUGGGUGUGGUGGCUAAUGCCUGUCAUCCCAGCACUUUGGGAGGCCAUGGUGGGCGGAUCGCUUGAGCUCAAAGAUUAGAGACCAGCCUGGGCAACAUAGUGAGACCCUGUUUCAAAAAGAAUAAAUAAUUAAAAUAAAUAAAAAAUUUAAAUAAGAAACACACAGGAAAGGUGAUGCAGCAUAGAGCAAUUUAUUGUAAAGGGAAAAAUAUUUUGCAAGUGAAGUGCAGAAUAGCCCGGGCACAGUGGCUGACACCUGUAAUCCCAGCACUUUGGGAGGCUGAGGUGGGUGGAUGACCUGAGGCCAGGAGUUCUAGACCAGCCUGGCCAAUGUGGUGAAACCCCAUCUCACACUGUCUCCAAAAAAAAAAAAAAAAGACAGUAAGUGGUAGUACACACGUGUAAUCCCAGCUACUAGGGAAGCUGAGGCAGGAGAAUUGUUUGAACCCAGGAGGCAGAGGUUGCAGUGAACCAAGAUUGCCCCACUGCACUCCAGCCUGGGGAGCAGAGGGAGGCUCCCUCUCAAAAAAAAAAAUAAUAAUUAGCUGGGCGUGGUGGCAGGUGCCUGUAAUCCCAGCAACUCGGGAGGCUGAGGCAGGAGAAUAGCUUGAACUUGGUGGUCGGAGGUUGCAGUGAGCUGAGAUGGAGUCACUGCACUCCAGCAAUCCUGAGGAGACUUAAGAACUAAACAUAGUAUGGUCUCCUGGAUGAGAUCUUGGAACAGGAAAAGGACAUUAUGGGAAAUAGUAAAGAAAUCUGAAUCAAGAUAAACUUU